rnacentral:rRNA from 1 species
UACGUAGGGUGCGAGCGUUAAUCGGAAUUACUGGGCGUAAAGCGUGCGCAGGCGGUUUUGUAAGCCAGAUGUGAAAUCCCCGGGCUUAACCUGGGAAUGGCAUUUGGAACUGCAAGGCUUGAGUGCGGCAGAGGAGACUGGAAUUCCUGGUGUAGCAGUGAAAUGCGUAGAUAUCAGGAGGAAUACCGAUGGCGAAGGCAGGUCUCUGGGCUGACACUGACGCUCAUGCACGAAGCGUGGGAGCAACGA